GUGCAUUUACCAUAUGAAAUUUGACCUUGCUCAAAAAUGCAAAAUUGACUGGUCUGAUGAACACAGGAUGGCCGAGCAGUGAUAGUUGUACAUUUCCAUCACUUGUUGUGUUGAUUUCAUCAUGUCCAUUAGGUGAUGUUUUUUCACUAUAGAAUCAUAUUGCAAAUGCACGUGCAUUGUUGUGCAACUGGUAACCCAAAAAUUAAAAUAUGGUUGUAAAUGCAUUUACCGGGACUCCUAUUAUCCAUGCCCGCUAUGGGAGUACCCUACUACGGCCCUCUAUCUAUGGGGGCAGUCCUGAGUGCUUUAUGGACUGUUUAAAAUAUUCUGAUGGAUACGCAUGUUGUGCAACUGGUGAUUGAAAAUAGGCACCUGGUAACCCAAAAAUGAAAAUAUGGUUGUGAAUGCAUUUACCGGUCAUUCUGAUAUUAAUGCCCGCUAUGGGAACACAGGAUGGCCGGGCAGUGAUAGUUGUUCCUUUCCAUCACUCGUUGUGUUGAUUUCAUCAUGUCCAUUAGGUGAUGUUUUUUCACUAUAGAAUCAUAUUGCAAAUGCACGUGCAUUGUUGUGCAACUGGUAACCCAAAAAUAAAAAUAUGGUUGUAAAUGCAUUUACCGGUCAUUCUGAUAUUAAUGCUCGCUAUGGGAACACAGGAUGGCCGGGCAGUGAUAGUUGUACAUUUCCAUCACUCGUUGUGUUGAUUUCAUCAUGUCCAUUAGGUGAUGUUUUUACACUAUAGAAUCAUAUUGCAAGUGCGCGCGCAUUUGCAAUAUGUUUCAAUGUGCAUUUACCAUAUGAAAUUUGACAUGCUCAAAAAUGCAAAAUUGACUGGUCUGAUGAACACAGGAUGGCUGAGCAGUGAUAGUUGUACAUUUCCAUCACUCGUUGUGUUGAUUUCAUCAUGUCCAUUUGUUUAUGUUUUCUCACUUUUGCAAAGUCACUGUGCAUUUGCAAUAUGGUUCAAUGGGCAGGUACCAUCACGAAUUUGUCAUGCUAUAAAAAUCCUGCAGGAAUGUGAAAUUGACUGGCCCGAUGAACUCGGGAUAGCUGGGCAGUGAUUCUGGUUCAUCUCCAUGGCUCGUUAGGGUUGAUUUCAGAAUGUCACUUUUGGUGAUGGUCCCUCUCCGUUUAAACAUAUUGCUAAUGUACAAAAGUCAACUAGCAAGUCAGUGUCCACCAGUCAAUUAGAUGUCAUUCUGACACCAAACUGAUACCAAUUGACACCAAACCCACUUUUUCCAACUCAUUUAGAAGCCAACUAUCACAUAUGUCAGAGCAGGCCCAUAAUUCACAGCGCCAUUAGUUUAAAACAUAAUAAAAACGUAAAACACAUAGUUACGUUCUAACUGCGGGUCCAGGUCAGACAUUAUGUGAAGGCCUAUGUGAGGCGACCCCGAAUCCCGAGUUUCGGCUCGAUAGGUCCUUCGGUGCCCGAGUAAAACCCUAAUUGGUGCUGAAAAUCCACUUUUUUCCAUGCCUUGCUAUGGGGUCCUUGAAUGAGCUAUCGGACCGAAACGUUGGGGUCCGUCUCUAUGGCCCGAGCCGGUUUCAAUGCACCUAGUCUUGUGUCUCUGAGACUUUUCUAAAUGUCGCCAUUUUCGUAAUGGUCAAAAUGAAUUGAAGUCAUUGCAAAUGUACGAGGCUAUUUCUCGGUCCGAGAACCUUCUAGAGCCACCUAACUCACCACGCACUAUCGACCCGAGGUCUAGAACAGG